AAAUUUAUGGCUUUGCAUAUCGCGCUAUGUUAUUUUUGUCUUUCAAAGCUGGAGGUCUUUAUUCACACUACUUUAUAAUACAGCCUAUACCGUAAUAGUAUUGUUUACAACUUGAAGAGAGAUCAAUAUAUUGUUGAUGUACUUGAAAUAAUUUAUACAGGUCUAGUAAAACAGUUUAUAAUAACUGUAAAAUUAAAAAAAAAGGGAUUAGAAGUAAUUUAUGUUAAUUUUGGUUAUUUGUUUGCAUUUUAUAUUUCAUCAUAAUAUGUAUAAUAAUAUUUACAAAAUUAUUAGUCAUUCAAUAGGGUGGAAAACAUGGAAAACACUUAGUGGAACAUAUAGUGGAAAACACUUUUACCGACAAAUCUCCGUAAAGUACCCUAUUUAUAAACAAGUCAAUAAUUUUAAAUCAUAAUAAUUUGUUUUUAUUAUUGUAAAUUCUUAAACUCAUUUUCCUCCCCUCAAAAAUUCCAUAAAAUAUGCAUUCCAAAUAUCCAAAAAUAUGCAUGCAUGUAUAAAGUUUCUUCAGACUAAAUUUUAAGGUUAGAAGUGAAUACUGUUCGGUUCGAAGUUAAUUAACCUUGUUAUUAUACAUGCAUUAUUACAAAUGAUUUUAAUUUUAUAAAAAGAGCAAUGUGCUAAAGCAUUAUUAUAUAUGAUAAUUAUGGUAUUAGUGUUAAUAUAUUGUAUAUAGAGAUAAAGCGUUAAAAUUAUAUUUGUAUGUAAUUAUUUAAUAAUAUUUCAUUAUAUUCUUGUUUAUUGUAAUCAAAAACAUGUAUAAGCAGAAUGAUUACUCUCAAGAUAGGGAUGGAGUUCACUGUCUACUUAACGGUUCUUAAAUCUACUCUGAAUUGUUAAAGGUUAGAAAUACAAUUCAUUAAGCAUGUUUAAGAUUUUGGUUAAUUUUAACAAUUACAAAGAAAAAUAUAUCAUUUCCCUUUAAUAUUGAGGUAGUAAUACCGUCAUUUAGAAGCAUAUAUCUGGCUCGCUGAUAUUUAUCUUGCGUUUUAGGGUAUAAUUACCUCAAGUCAUAAAUUUCAAUAUUUAAUUUUCUGUAAAAACUAUAUUAUAUCGUCACAAUUACGUUCUUUGUAUGCAGUUGUAGGGACCGCUAAUUCUCCGGAACGCAUUUAUGUUUCAACGAAUGUUCCGCACAUGGGAUCGGUUUUUGUUAGAGAAGGAGAAUUAUAAAAGACAGAUGAAACGAAGGAGGAAUACUUAGCACGCAUCAGAAAUUCAUGAAAUUUUCGCGAUCUAAAAGAACCGUUUUCCCUAACAAUUUUGUAUAAUUAUAAUCUUCAAUAAAUUUUAAUACGAAGUUUAAAAUAAUUGAAAAAUUCAAUAAUUAAUUAAAUUAUUCGGUACUUAAGCUUUCAAUAAAUACUUUCAAAUAUUUA